rnacentral:rRNA from 1 species
UACGUAGGGGGCAAGCGUUGUCCGGAUUUAUUGGGCGUAAAGAGCGUGUAGGCGGCUAGGUAGGUCCGUUGUGAAAACUCGAGGCUCAACCUCGAGACGCCGGUGGAAACCAUCUAGCUAGAGUCCGGAAGAGGAGAGUGGAAUUCCUGGUGUAGCGGUGAAAUGCGCAGAUAUCAGGAAGAACACCCGUGGCGAAGGCGGCUCUCUGGACCAGCACUGACACUGAGGCACGAAAGCGUGGGGAGCAAACAGG